rnacentral:rRNA from 1 species
CAACUCGCCUGCAUGAAGUUGGAAUUGCUGGUAAUCGCGAAUCAGAAUGUCGCGGUGAAUACGUUCCCGGGCCUUGUACACACCGCCCGUCACACCGUGAGAGCCGAUAACACCCGAAGCCUGUGAGCUAACCGUAAGGGGGCAGCAGUCGAAGGUGGGGUUGGUGAUUGGGGUGAAGUCGUAACAAGGUAUC